AAGCUGAUCGGAGCAAAUUCCCAUUGUUGCCUACAAAGGCUCCUCCGAGUGUUUCGACACUACCCUAUGUUACCCGGAGGCUGACUUUGUCCCGGAGUGUCAAGGUGCCUUCACUGUACUUCGACUGACUGCUUCCAUUUAUGAAAGAACCCUAGACUGCUACUGAUACAUGAAGACCCCUGUUUGCUGGCUUCAUCUCAAGAACUUUGCUGCAAAAAUGGCUGCUGU